GGUGAGGAGUAGGUGUCCCGCGGCUAGGCGGGCGGGCCGUCACUGCCCGCCCGUCGCUCGCCUCCCCGCCCCCCGGCUUCCUGCGGAGGCCGCGGCCGCCAUGUUGUUGUGGGGCUGAGGCGGCGCCGGCUGAGAGCCCAGCAGCCGUGACAGGCUGCGCAACAGGUUCGCUGCGGCCGGCCUGACGACUGACCCGGCGGCGGCGGCCGCGGCACGGCAGGGUCUUCCCGGAGCUUGGCCGCGCCCACGCGCCGGUGUCGAGGAGCGCGCGGGGUCGCGCCGGGACGUGCGCGAGGCGCCAGAUGGCUGAGAGCUGCAAGAAGAAGUCAGGAUCAUGAUGGCUCAGUUUCCCACAGCGAUGAAUGGAGGGCCAAAUAUGUGGGCUAUUACAUCUGAAGAACGUACUAAGCAUGAUAAACAGUUUGAUAACCUCAAACCUUCAGGAGGUUACAUAACAGGUGAUCAAGCCCGUACUUUUUUCCUACAGUCAGGUCUGCCGGCCCCGGUUUUAGCUGAAAUAUGGGCCUUAUCAGAUCUGAACAAGGAUGGGAAGAUGGACCAGCAAGAGUUCUCUAUAGCUAUGAAACUCAUCAAGUUAAAGUUGCAGGGCCAACAGCUGCCUGUAGUCCUCCCUCCUAUCAUGAAACAACCCCCUAUGUUCUCUCCACUAAUCUCUGCUCGUUUUGGGAUGGGAAGCAUGCCCAAUCUGUCCAUUCAUCAGCCAUUGCCUCCAGUUGCACCUAUAGCAACACCCUUGUCUUCUGCUACUUCAGGGACCAGUAUUCCUCCCCUAAUGAUGCCUGCUCCCCUAGUGCCUUCUGUUAGUACAUCCUCAUUACCAAAUGGAACUGCCAGUCUCAUUCAGCCUUUAUCCAUUCCUUAUUCUUCUUCAACAUUGCCUCAUGCAUCAUCUUACAGCCUGAUGAUGGGAGGAUUUGGUGGUGCUAGUAUCCAGAAGGCCCAGUCUCUGAUUGAUUUAGGAUCUAGUAGCUCAACUUCCUCAACUGCUUCCCUCUCAGGGAACUCACCUAAGACAGGGACCUCAGAGUGGGCAGUUCCUCAGCCUUCAAGAUUAAAGUAUCGGCAAAAAUUUAAUAGUCUAGACAAAGGCAUGAGCGGAUACCUCUCAGGUUUUCAAGCUAGAAAUGCCCUUCUUCAGUCAAAUCUCUCUCAAACUCAGCUAGCUACUAUUUGGACUCUGGCUGACAUCGAUGGUGACGGACAGUUGAAAGCUGAAGAAUUUAUUCUGGCGAUGCACCUCACUGACAUGGCCAAAGCUGGACAGCCACUACCACUGACGUUGCCUCCCGAGCUUGUCCCUCCAUCUUUCAGAGGGGGAAAGCAAGUUGAUUCUGUUAAUGGAACUCUGCCUUCAUAUCAGAAAACACAAGAAGAAGAGCCUCAGAAGAAACUGCCAGUUACUUUUGAGGACAAACGGAAAGCCAACUAUGAACGAGGAAACAUGGAGCUGGAGAAGCGACGCCAAGUGUUGAUGGAGCAGCAGCAGAGGGAGGCUGAACGCAAAGCCCAGAAAGAGAAGGAAGAGUGGGAGCGGAAACAGAGAGAACUGCAAGAGCAAGAAUGGAAGAAGCAGCUGGAGUUGGAGAAACGCUUGGAGAAACAGAGAGAGCUGGAGAGACAGCGGGAGGAAGAGAGGAGAAAGGAGAUAGAAAGACGAGAGGCAGCAAAACAGGAGCUUGAGAGACAACGCCGUUUAGAAUGGGAAAGACUCCGUCGGCAGGAGCUGCUCAGUCAGAAGACCAGGGAACAAGAAGACAUUGUCAGGCUGAGCUCCAGAAAGAAAAGUCUCCACCUGGAACUGGAAGCAGUGAAUGGAAAACAUCAGCAGAUCUCAGGCAGACUACAAGAUGUCCAAAUCAGAAAGCAAACACAAAAGACUGAGCUAGAAGUUUUGGAUAAACAGUGUGACCUGGAAAUUAUGGAAAUCAAACAACUUCAACAAGAGCUUAAGGAAUAUCAAAAUAAGCUUAUCUAUCUGGUCCCUGAGAAGCAGCUAUUAAACGAAAGAAUUAAAAACAUGCAGCUCAGUAACACACCUGAUUCAGGGAUCAGUUUACUUCAUAAAAAGUCAUCAGAAAAGGAAGAAUUAUGCCAAAGACUUAAAGAACAAUUAGAUGCUCUUGAAAAAGAAACUGCAUCUAAGCUCUCAGAAAUGGAUUCAUUUAACAAUCAGCUGAAGUGUGGGAGUAUGGAUGACUGUGUCCUUCAGUGCCUUUUGUCUCUGCUGAGCUGUCUCAACAACCUCUUCCUCUUACUUAAGGAACUCAGAGAAAGCUAUAAUACACAGCAGUUAGCCCUUGAACAACUUCAUAAAAUCAAACGUGACAAAUUGAAGGAAAUCGAAAGAAAAAGAUUAGAGCAAAUUCAAAAAAAGAAACUAGAAGAUGAGGCUGCAAGGAAAGCAAAGCAAGGAAAAGAAAACUUGUGGAGAGAAAGUAUUAGAAAGGAAGAAGAGGAAAAGCAAAAACGACUCCAGGAAGAAAAGUCACAGGACAAAACUCAAGAAGAGGAACGAAAAGCUGAGGCAAAACAAAGUGAGACAGCCAGUGCUUUGGUGAAUUACAGAGCACUGUACCCUUUUGAAGCAAGAAACCAUGAUGAGAUGAGUUUUAGUUCUGGGGAUAUAAUUCAGGUUGAUGAAAAAACUGUAGGAGAGCCUGGUUGGCUUUAUGGUAGUUUUCAGGGAAAGUUUGGCUGGUUCCCGUGCAACUAUGUAGAAAAAGUGCUGUCAAGUGAAAAAGCUCUGUCUCCUAAGAAGGCCUUACUUCCUCCUACAGUGUCUCUCUCUGCUACCUCAACUUCUUCCCAGCCACCAGCAUCAGUGACUGAUUAUCACAAUGUAUCCUUCUCAAACCUUACUGUUAAUACAACAUGGCAGCAGAAGUCAGCUUUUACCCGCACUGUGUCCCCUGGAUCUGUGUCCCCCAUUCACGGACAGGGGCAGGCUGUAGAAAACCUGAAAGCCCAGGCCCUUUGUUCCUGGACGGCAAAGAAGGAGAACCACCUGAACUUCUCAAAGCACGACGUCAUCACUGUCCUGGAGCAGCAGGAAAACUGGUGGUUUGGGGAGGUGCACGGAGGAAGAGGAUGGUUCCCCAAGUCUUAUGUCAAGCUCAUUCCUGGGAAUGAAGUACAGCGAGGAGAGCCAGAAGCUUUGUAUGCAGCUGUGACUAAGAAACCUACCUCCACAGCCUAUCCAGUUACCUCCACAGCCUAUCCAGUUGGAGAAGACUACAUUGCACUUUAUUCAUACUCAAGUGUAGAGCCCGGGGAUUUGACUUUCACUGAAGGUGAAGAAAUUCUAGUGACCCAGAAAGAUGGAGAGUGGUGGACAGGAAGUAUUGGAGAGAGAACUGGAAUCUUCCCGUCCAACUACGUCAGACCAAAGGAUCAAGAGAAUUUUGGGAAUGCUAGCAAAUCUGGAGCAUCAAACAAAAAACCCGAGAUCGCUCAAGUAACUUCAGCAUAUGCUGCUUCAGGGACUGAGCAGCUCAGCCUUGCGCCAGGACAGUUAAUAUUAAUCUUAAAGAAAAACACAAGCGGGUGGUGGCAAGGAGAGCUACAGGCCAGAGGGAAGAAACGACAGAAGGGAUGGUUUCCUGCCAGCCAUGUAAAGCUGCUAGGUCCAAGCAGUGAAAGAACCAUGCCUACUUUUCACGCUGUAUGUCAAGUGAUUGCUAUGUAUGACUACAUGGCGAAUAACGAAGAUGAGCUCAAUUUCUCCAAAGGACAGCUGAUUAAUGUUAUGAACAAAGAUGACCCUGACUGGUGGCAAGGAGAAACCAAUGGUCUGACUGGUCUCUUUCCUUCAAACUAUGUUAAGAUGACAACAGACUCAGAUCCAAGUCAACAGUGGUGUGCUGACCUCCAAGCCCUGGACACAAUGCAGCCUACGGAGAGGAAGCGACAGGGCUACAUUCACGAGCUCAUUCAGACAGAGGAGCGGUACAUGGACGACCUGCAGCUGGUCAUCGAGGUCUUCCAGAAACGGAUGGCUGAGUCAGGCUUCCUCACUGAAGCAGACAUGGCUCUGAUCUUUGUGAACUGGAAAGAGCUCAUCAUGUCCAACACGAAGCUGCUGAGGGCCUUGCGGGUGAGGAAGAAGACUGGGGGUGAGAAGAUGCCAGUUCAGAUGAUUGGAGACAUCCUGGCGGCAGAGCUGUCCCACAUGCAGGCCUACAUCCGCUUCUGCAGCUGUCAGCUUAAUGGGGCAACCCUGUUACAGCAGAAGACAGACGAGGACACGGACUUCAAGGAAUUUCUAAAGAAGUUGGCAUCAGACCCACGAUGCAAAGGGAUGCCCCUCUCCAGCUUCCUGCUGAAGCCCAUGCAGAGGAUCACUCGCUACCCGCUGCUCAUCCGAAGUAUCCUGGAGAACACUCCACAGAGUCAUGUUGACCACUCCUCCCUGAAGCUGGCCCUAGAACGUGCUGAGGAGCUGUGCUCUCAGGUGAACGAGGGAGUCCGGGAGAAGGAAAAUUCAGACCGGCUGGAGUGGAUCCAGGCACACGUGCAGUGCGAAGGCUUGGCAGAGCAACUUAUUUUCAACUCCCUCACCAACUGCCUGGGCCCCCGGAAGCUUCUGCACAGCGGGAAGCUGUACAAGACCAAGAGCAAUAAGGAGCUGCACGCCUUCCUCUUCAACGACUUCCUGCUGCUCACCUACCUGGUCAGGCAGUUUGCCGCCGCCUCUGGCCACGAGAAGCUCUUCAACUCCAAGUCCAGUGCUCAGUUCCGGAUGUACAAAACGCCCAUUUUCCUGAAUGAAGUGUUGGUGAAACUUCCCACAGACCCUUCCAGCGAUGAGCCCGUCUUCCACAUUUCCCACAUUGAUCGUGUGUACACACUCCGAACAGACAACAUCAACGAGAGGACGGCCUGGGUCCAGAAGAUCAAGGGUGCCUCAGAGCAGUACAUCGACACUGAGAAGAAGAAACGGGAAAAGGCUUACCAAGGUUGCCCUUAUUUUGUUCUGUGCUCCUGAAGGUAUGUGAAAAUUACCUUUUCCUAAUUGAAUACUAUUUUAAAAGCUUGCUACUGAAAAAUCAAUGAUUGGAUCAUUUCAUAAAACAUAUAAUCAUCUCCUAAUUUAUCAAAAGUGCAAAUCAAGGUUUUCCUGAGUUUCUCGCUGUGUGUGUUCUGCAUUCUCCAUGGGUACAAUCCUUCAGACACAGUUCUGUGCUGUGUGCCAGGCCCUGUGGUGUGCAUAUCGGGGCCUACCGAGUUAGUAAGGCCAGGCUCUGCCUUCAGGGAACAAGGGCAUUCUCCAUCGUGGAGAUAUGAGACACUGGGGAGUGGACCACUGCUUGUAGACCAGGCUACCCCACUGACGCUGAGGCAAGAGGCCUCAAGGUUGUGGCCAGCCAUCCUGAGAAACCUAACAAUACCUUGUCUCAAAAAAAUUUUAUUAAAAAAAUCUUUAAAAAGAAAAAAGUUGAGAAGACUGCACAUCCCCAGACCACAGGACUCACUCGGUCUCCAUUAGAGCAUCUCAAGAGUCUUUCUCAAUAGAUUAAACAGGAAAUCAACCUGCUCACCAAGACAAAAGGCUUACAUAGAAGUGAAAUGUUGAUGAGUGGCUCACACUUUGUUAUCUGAUGUUGACAUUUUAACCUUGCAGUUUAAAAACUCUGGCCUAGGUGUGAUGGCACACACCUUUAGUCGCCACGCUGGAGGCAGAGGCAGGCAGAUCCUCUGUAAGUCUAAAGCUAACUUGGUCUAUAUAGCACGAUCCAGGCCAGUCAGGCUACUCAAUCUCUGUCUCAAAACAAAAAACAGAAAGGGUCCCUGAGACAGGAGGAUUCCAAGUUCAAGGCUGACAGCUUGGGCUACAAUGAGACCCUGUCUUUAAAAAGCCUGAGAGUGGAGCACAUGGUCCUAAGACCCAGUUUUCCUCAUCUGUAAAAUGGGAACUACCUUGUAAAGCAAUUAUAGAAUUAAAUAUACUCUGUAUAAAGAUCUAGCACAUGCCUAGCACAAAGUAGCUAGCAAAUGUUAUUUGCAAGAAGUACUGGACAAACUGCAUGCAUUUUAAAUUAAUAUAACUAUUCAUAGGCAUUUUCACCUAGAUAAAGCAGUCCAUUCAACUCAGUGGCUCCUCCUUGGCAGAAGAGGCAGACAGGGUGCAGACUGUCAGGCAUAGCAGGUUGUGGGGUUUCUCGGUCAAGGCUAGUGGCACUCAGCGGGAAGGAGGCUGAGGUGACUGAGACUAGCCUGGAUCUUGAAGGAUGAGUUGGGUACUGAUGGGCAAAGGAUUCCAGAAAGGCAUCCCUAGUAGGCAACACAGCCUGGAGGAGGAACGAAUUCUGGCUGCUAAUGCCAGAGCACUAGCAGGUGAUAGGAGUUAGUCCAGGGCUAAAGCUCUAGUUGAUUAGAGAGACACACAUCAGGAGCUGGAAGCAUAGCCAAUGGCAGAGCGUGGUUAAGAAGCAUGGGGGUCCAUUUCCAGCAUCAGAGAGUGUGUGAGAAUAGACAGAAGCCCUACAGCAUUGCCUUUUCACUGUGGUGGUCGUCUACAUUCCCAGAGUAACACGACUCACUUCCUCUUUUGUAGCCCGUUCUCAAAAGACUUCAGGUAUUGGGCGUCUGAUGGUGCAUGUCAUUGAAGCUACAGAAUUAAAAGCCUGCAAACCAAACGGGAAAAGUAAUCCAUACUGUGAAGUCAGCAUGGGCUCCCAAAGCUAUACCACCAGGACCCUGCAGGACACACUAAACCCCAAGUGGAACUUCAACUGCCAGUUCUUCAUCAAGGAUCUUUACCAGGACGUUCUGUGUCUCACUAUGUUUGACAGAGACCAGUUUUCUCCAGAUGACUUCUUGGGUCGUACUGAAGUUCCAGUGGCAAAAAUCCGAACAGAACAGGAAAGCAAAGGCCCCACCACCCGCCGACUACUACUGCACGAAGUCCCCACUGGAGAAGUCUGGGUCCGCUUUGACCUGCAACUUUUUGAACAAAAAACUCUCCUUUGAGGGCCUGGGGAAGCCAGAACCAGGGGAGCUGCCCACAAGGCUGGGUCUAAAGACAGAUUUUGCUCUCCCAGGACAGAGGAGCAUCACAUGGCUUCAUCCAUCAAACAGCCACACUCGCUGGGCCUGUAUUUUAUUGCACACUAAAUUGCUAGCAAUCUAUGCAAACAUGAUCUUUUAAACAAACGCCACAGCACAGUGCCUUGUACUAGUGUUAACCUGUUCAGCUGUGUUAGAUGCCAGGGUUUCCAUUUUCAGGGCUAUAAAAGUAUUAUGUGGAAAUGAGGCAUCAGACCACCGGACGUUACCACUUGGCAAAUCUGUCCACUGUGGAGUUGGUGAUGUUGGAACCAUUCCACACUAUGUGACCUCUGCUGGGUCACACACUCAGGAGGUGAAGGGCUGAGAUGAAAUGCUGCAGCCUUGGGGCUUGUGCAGCCUGAUACUGAAAUAGCAUCCACUUGUGCACUGAAUAAAUAGAAACUUGAUCGUUUUAUUCUGACUAGAUAUUAUCAUUCUCUGCUAAGACAAUAUAGUUUGAAAUAUUAUAGUUUGAAUAUAAGGAGGAAAGCUUGAUGUACUUUAAAUAUACUGUGAACUCUAAUAAUGUGGGGAUAUUUUUCAACUUUAAUUUUCUUAAGUAUAAAUUAUUUAUGUAAAUUCUUUGUUUUGCAUAUUUCAUAGAACAUGCAUCUUUAAGCUUUAUCAUUGCCAACAAUGUACAGAAAGAGAAUAAAAGUAUAAGUUUAUGAAUGUAA